AUUAUACUCCCUCUGUCCAGAAAUACUUGUCAUCAAAAUGGAUAAAAGGAGAUGUAUUUAGACGUAUUUUAGUUCUAGAUACAUCUUUUUUUAUCCAUCUUGAUGACAAGUAUUUUCAGACGGAUGGGAGUAUAUU
rfam:Triticum aestivum genome assembly, contig: Triticum_aestivum_CS42_TGACv1_scaffold_031016_1BL